ACUCUAAGCGGUGGAUCACUCGGCUCAUGGGUCGAUGAAGAACGCAGCAAACUGUGCGUCAUCGUGUGAACUGCAGGACACAUGAACAUCGACAUUUUGAACGCAUAUCGCAGUCCAUGCUGUUAUGUACUUUAAUUAAUUUUAUAGUGCUGCUUGGACUACAUAUGGUUGAGGGUUGUAAGACUAUGCUAAUUAAGUUGCUUAUAAAUUUUUAUAAGCAUAUGGUAUAUUAUUGGAUAAAUAUAAUAAUUUUUAUUCAUAAUAUUAAAAAAUAAAUGAAAAACAUUAUCUCACAUUUGAAUGUGAAAAACGAAGAGAAAUAUUUUCUUUUUCAAUCAAAUAAUACUGAGAAAUGUCUAGCAUAAAAAAUUGAAAUAUUUUUCAUCUAGAAUUGUCUCUUAUUAAUGAUUCGGAAAUAGAAAAAUCUUGGUUAUGUUAUUAUUCUUCGUUGGUUCGUUAAAAAUGGAUAAAUAAAAACUUUGCAUACAAGAAUUAAUAAAAAUGUUAUAACGAAUUUAAUUAAAUGUUUUAUCAUUAUAUAUAAAGAAUUUAUGGCAAGAUAAAGUUAUAUACAACCUCAACUCAUAUGGGACUACCCCUGAAUUUAAGCAUAUUAAUUAGGGGAGGAAAAGAAACUAACAAGGAUUUUCUUAGUAGCGGCGAGCGAAAAGAAAACAGUUCAGCACUAAGUCACUUUGUCUAUAUGGCAAAUGUGAGAUGCAGUGUAUGGAGCGUCAAUAUUCUAGUAUGAGAAAUUAACGAUUUAAGUCCUUCUUAAAUGAGGCCAUUUACCCAUAGAGGGUGCCAGGCCCGUAUAACGUUAAUGAUUACUAGAUGAUGUUUCCAAAGAGUCGUGUUGCUUGAUAGUGCAGCACUAAGUGGGUGGUAAACUCCAUCUAAAACUAAAUAUAACCAUGAGACCGAUAGUAAACAAGUACCGUGAGGGAAAGUUGAAAAGAACUCUGAAUAGAGAGUUAAACAGUACGUGAAACUGCUUAGAGGUUAAGCCCGAUGAACCUGAAUAUCCGUUAUGGAAAAUUCAUCAUUAAAAUUGUAAUAUUUAAAUAAUAUUAUGAGAAUAGUGUGCAUUUUUUCCAUAUAAGGACAUUGUAAUCUAUUAGCAUAUACCAAAUUUAUCAUAAAAUAUAACUUAUAGUUUAUUCCAAUUAAAUUGCUUGCAUUUUAACACAGAAUAAAUGUUAUUAAUUUGAUAAAGUGCUGAUAGAUUUAUAUGAUUACAGUGCGUUAAUUUUUCGGAAUUAUAUAAUGGCAUAAUUAUCAUUGAUUUUUGUGUUUAUUAUAUGCACUUGUAUGAUUAACAAUGCGAAAGAUUCAGGAUACCUUCGGACCGUCUUGAAACACGGACCAAGGAGUCUAACAUAUGUGCAAGUUAUUGGGAUAUAAACCUAAUAGCGUAAUUAACUUGACUAAUAAUGGGAUUAGUUUUUUAGCUAUUUAUAGCUAAUUAACACAAUCCCGGGGCGUUCUAUAUAGUUAUGUAUAAUGUAUAUUUAUAUUAUUUAUGCCUCUAACUGGAACGUACCUUGAGCAUAUAUGCUGUGACCCGAAAGAUGGUGAACUAUACUUGAUCAGGUUGAAGUCAGGGGAAACCCUGAUGGAAGACCGAAACAGUUCUGACGUGCAAAUCGAUUGUCAGAAUUGAGUAUAGGGGCGAAAGACCAAUCGAACCAUCUAGUAGCUGGUUCCUUCCGAAGUUUCCCUCAGGAUAGCUGGUGCAUUUUAAUAUUAUAUAAAAUAAUCUUAUCUGGUAAAGCGAAUGAUUAGAGGCCUUAGGGUCGAAACGAUCUUAACCUAUUCUCAAACUUUAAAUGGGUAAGAACCUUAACUUUCUUGAUAUGAAGUUCAAGGUUAUGAUAUAAUGUGCCCAGUGGGCCACUUUUGGUAAGCAGAACUGGCGCUGUGGGAUGAACCAAACGUAAUGUUACGGUGCCCAAAUUAACAACUCAUGCAGAUACCAUGAAAGGCGUUGGUUGCUUAAAACAGCAGGACGGUGAUCAUGGAAGUCGAAAUCCGCUAAGGAGUGUGUAACAACUCACCUGCCGAAGCAACUAGCCCUUAAAAUGGAUGGCGCUUAAGUUGUAUACCUAUACAUUACCGCUAAAGUAGAUGAUUUAUAUUACUUGUGAUAUAAAUUUUGAAACUUUAGUGAGUAGGAAGGUACAAUGGUAUGCGUAGAAGUGUUUGGCGUAAGCCUGCAUGGAGCUGCCAUUGGUACAGAUCUUGGUGGUAGUAGCAAAUAAUCGAAUGAGACCUUGGAGGACUGAAGUGGAGAAGGGUUUCGUGUGAACAGUGGUUGAUCACGAGUUAGUCGGUCCUAAGUUCAAGGCGAAAGCCGAAAAUUUUCAAGUAAAACAAAAAUGCCUAACUAUAUAAACAAAGCGAAUUAUAAUACACUUGAAUAAUUUUGAACGAAAGGGAAUACGGUUCCAAUUCCGUAACCUGUUGAGUAUCCGUUUGUUAUUAAAUAUGGGCCUCGUGCUCAUCCUGGCAACAGGAACGAC
rnacentral:rRNA from 1 species